GACAGAGGGUGCAAACGUUGUUCGGAAUUACUGGGCGUAAAGCGUGCGCAGGCGCCUUGCAAGUCGGGCGUGAAAUCCCACGGCUCAACCGUGGAAGUGCACUCGAAACUGCUCGGCUAGAAGUCUUGGAGAGGAAGGCGGAAUGCUUGGUGGUAGAGGUAGAAAUUCGGUAGAUAGUCAAAGCGGAACACCGGUGGCGAAGGCG
rnacentral:rRNA from 1 species